CCUGCAUCUUUGGCCGGGCGGGUGGCGACAGCUUGGAUGUUGACCUCAGCAUUGGUAGGGCACUUCGUAUCUGGGUCAACGCAGGCAGGCCCAUAUCCAGGGGUG